CCCAGAACAGAGCCAAAUUGUUCAAGCUGCGUGAAGAAGAAAGAAAAAACGAGUUGGGGGGGGGGGGGUGGCGGUGGUGCUGGUUGAGGGAAGAAGAAAAGAUUUCCUUGUUGGUUCGAUUUCUCUGGAGAUAUUUGGAGGAUAACACAGCAAUUUUUUUUUUUUCUUUUAGGAGGGGCACCCGAGAGCAAAAAACGAGAGAGCCGAGUUUUAUCGGCCAGGCGGCCCGUGCUUAAAGGUGACAUUCGAGAGAACAAUCGCUAGGUUGUUUGGUCACCUUUGCUGGUAUGAAUGAAGCUUAAGAAAAGCUGUCUUUGGAUUGCUACUAAUAGUCAUCUUCAUCAUGCCUGCUCUCCCUCUCUCUCUCCCUCUCCCUCGCCCUCUCUCUCUCUCUCUCUCUCUCUCUUUCUCGGUUCCCUUAUGAAAUAAAGGCACACAGGUAAUAAACAAAGCACUAUAAAAGAUCAGAUUGACGUGUUCUGUGGCUCAUUCAAUGUCAGGAGCAAGCCUCCUGCGCUCCGCUGCUAGUGCUUGCGGCACCAAAAGCUGGGCCAGGACCGAGGGAUGGUGGUGGGAUGAGGCUAGACCCCCUUCACCCAUCCUGGAACCUUGCUGAAUUCAUCAGGGCCACGGCCUGGGUCCGCUAACCCACACCUGACGCCCGAGGGACAAAGGACAAGAUGGCAGGGUAGAGACCCUUGGAUUUGCUCCUUUUGGAUUUUUGGAUUCGGACCUGACUUUCUUUGUCAAUCCUCAUGCCCGAUCCAGUGGUCAAAGAAGGAGGAGACUCAACAGCUGUUUCUUUCUCCCUUCAUUUUUCCAACAAAGAAGCUUCAUGAGAACAUUAACACCGAAAGAAAAUUGUGUUCACUGCAGGACUUUUCAAGGAUCGGUGGAAAGAUUUAUAAGCUGCAGACUGCGCUCAGCAAGACCUCACCAAAUGGAGGAAAAUUAAAGAGAGAAAUGGUCCAUGGUGUAUUCUUAACCGCCAUAAAUUGGCGUCAUUUUGGCCACCAUCCAGGAGAGAGACACCAGCCUACAGAAACAGAGAAAGAAGAUCAGAAGCCGAUGGAAGGAAGGGAGAUGCGACUUCGCUGGGGAAGAGAGGACUAUCCUCUGCUCCCAUCGCUCACUCACUGA
rnacentral:lncRNA from 1 species